rnacentral:rRNA from 1 species
UACGUAGGUGGCGAGCGUUGUCCGGAUUUACUGGGCGUAAAGGGAGCGUAGGCGGACUUUUAAGUGAGAUGUGAAAUACCCGGGCUCAACUUGGGUGCUGCAUUUCAAACUGGAAGUCUAGAGUGCAGGAGAGGAGAAUGGAAUUCCUAGUGUAGCGGUGAAAUGCGUAGAGAUUAGGAAGAACACCAGUGGCGAAGGCGAUUCUCUGGACUGUAACUGACGCUGAGGCUCGAAAACGUGGGGAGCAAACAGGAUUAGAUACCCUGGUA